UACGUAGGGUGCAAGCGUUGUCCGGAAUUAUUGGGCGUAAAGAGCUCGUAGGCGGUUUGUUGCGUCGGCCGUGAAAACUUGGGGCUUAACCCCGAGCCUGCGGUCGAUACGGGCAGACUUGAGUUCGGCAGGGGAGACUGGAAUUCCUGGUGUAGCGGUGAAAUGCGCAGAUAUCAGGAGGAACACCGGUGGCGAAGGCGCCACUCUGGGCCGGAACUGACGCUGAGGAGCGAAAGCGUGGGUAGCAAACAGGAUUAGACUACCCUGUCAGUCCAAGACCAGUCUCGUCGACCUACCGAUUAA
rnacentral:rRNA from 1 species